GCGGCGGGAGGGGGGGCGCCGGAAAAGGCCGCGGGCGGGAGGAGCCCCGAGGCGGCGGGCGGGGACGGGGCGGGCGGCGGCGGCGGCGGGAGGGGCGCUGCGCUGCGCUCCGCCCCGAGGGGCGCCGCCAUCAGCGGGGCGGGGCGGCGGCGGAGCGGAGCGCGGCUGGAGCCCGCGGCGCGGGUUUGGCGGCCUUGGCGGCUUUGGCCGUAAGGAGCUGCGUGCAGCGGGCUUUUAAAUAAAAGUUUCCUCGGUAGCGCCGCGAGAUCCGUUCUGCGGAAAUGCCUUCGCCGAACAGGAGCACCGCUGUUAAUUCGGUCCUCCGUCACCGCGGCGGCGCUCUCCUCCCGCGCGGCCGCUGGGGCUGUUCGGGUGACUUCCAUCUUGCUGCGACGCCGCAGCCGCUGUUUAAAUACGUUCUUUUACCCCCUGACGGCGUUUUAGGCGUUAACCGACGGAAGGCUCGAAUACCUUCCUGCUUAUUCACGUCGUUUCUUCUGUCGUUAUUUUUUUGCGGGCAGCCGCAAAGGACUCAUCUUUGAGCACUGCCAAUAGACAAAACCAAAGGAGGGCAAACAAGACACAUUUCAGCAUCUGAUUCCACUGGCACUAGAGCCCUGAAUAGUACCAAGAGCUACUGUUUCAGAGGGGGACAACAUAGCUUGUUGGAUCUUCACCUGGGAGAUCAGUGUGCCAUGUAACAACCUUCUCUGCAAUUCAUUUAUCCGCACCGGAACGUAUUUCAGAAGUAUUAAUGAGUCCAACAUGGUUGUGUCAGGAGCUCAGGAGGCUGUUUCCCUAGCCCUUGGGUAAUGUGUGCAUCCCAUCACAUGGACAGCCACUUGGCACGUCCCUACUCUGACCCCAGAGGCACCUGGCCACAGAGCUAAAGGGCUACAUUUUUUAAUUGUUCUGUUAGGAAGAUAUAAUGCAAAAGCAGGGGCUGUCAUCUAUAAAUAGUUUCUCUUUGGCUUGCAGUAAACUCAUAGCACAUCCCUUUUUAUUCCUAAGCCAAUAUCUGGCAGAAAGCUGAUAUCUUAACAAUAUCUUAACAGCUGCUGAUGAGCUGAAAUUAUCCUAGCCAGGUGUAGGAGACUUCAAAAGCACUUGGAUUUUCUGAACUGCUGCCAGCCCCUUGGGAAGCAGAAAUAAAAGGGAAAAUAGCAAAGGCA
rnacentral:lncRNA from 1 species